rnacentral:rRNA from 1 species
UACAGAGGGUGCGAGCGUUGUUCGGAAUUACUGGGCGUAAAGCGCGCGCAGGCGGCCUUUUAAGUCUGACGGUGAAAUGCCGGGGCUCAACCCCGUGCCCGCCGGAGAUACUGGGAGGCUGGAGACGAGUAGAGGCAAGCGGAAUUCCGGGUGUAGCGGUGGAAUGCGUAGAGAUCCGGAAGAACACCGGUGGCGAAGGCGGCCUGCUGGGCAGUUUUGCUGACACUGAGGCGCGACAGCGUGGGGAGCAAACAGG